CGCUUCACUUGUGGGACGUAACCGCAGGAGUGAGGGGAUAGAUGUACUGUGGGGAAGAUGCUGAGAAACAUCAAGGGGUGGCGAAGAUAGUGCCCUAGCAUCGAACGACUGUCGGGU
ncrna:unclassified sequences Betaproteobacteria-1 RNA